UAUCAGGCUGGCAGAGAUCAGCCAAGAGAUCAUCAGCUACAUGAGCAGCACGGCCAUUUCCAACACCCAAAAGAGGAAAUCUGCUGAGGACAAGUCUCGCAGUAGGCUGGACAAGGCAGUGAACCAGGCCAGAGAGGACAUCCUCCAGCUGACUGGCAAACUGCUGCAGACACAGGCAGAUCUUGAGUACAAGGAUGAAAGACUGAAAGAGC